ensembl:processed_transcript
UCUUGUGGCCGUUUGUGUGUUUCAGCCAUAGACAUCUAGCCUACUAUAACAGAAAGCUUUUUAUAAUAUGUAUGUGCUUUCAGCUUUCCAUUAGGGCUUGAGUGGCCUCUAGUGGCUGCAUGAAGCGACAUCAAAUAUUCUCUCUACCUCAGUUUUUGUUUUGUGCUUGUUUUGUGUGAAUGUACUAGGUUUAAAUAAUCUGUCGUUGGCCCGAGUGGAUUAGGGUGUUAGUCCGGCCUGCUUUGCUUCAUGUCCCGGUUUAAACCUGCUUUUAUAGUUUUGACUUUUUCAACUACAAAAUACCCUAAAUCUAAUCAUUGCUGUAUAUAAGUAGCACAUUUGAUUCAGUAACUGACUACAACGUUUGCUAAUGCUUAACUUUCCAUCCAACAUAAUAAGACACCAAACCAAAGUGUUUUGGUAGCGUACAAACGUUAAAUUAGAUGUUAAAUGUCUUUAAAGUAGGACAUCUGGUUUAAAAGGUUGUCAAUGUUUACAAAAAUGAAGAGCAAUAAAUAGACCAUGCGUCACGUUAAAACUAGGCCAGUAGAACACCGCUGUCUAUAUCACCGCUGAAGAGAUGAAGUGUAGAAAUGUCCCAGGAUCUCAAAUCAGUAUCGAGCUGGGACUCUAAGGUUUUAUGUCUGGGAAUGAAGCACUGUGGUCAUCCGGUUCGAACUUCAAGCUUUUAAUGGGAUCUGGAACCAAGUUAAAUGUGCAGCAAA